CAGAAAUUCCCUCAAUGUUAGCUGAUUGGCGUAUUAUUUCUGCCAGAGGUUCCAUGGCCAACACAAAUAAAAGUGGCAACAAUGGACAUCCCUGUCUUGUGCCGUUAGACAAUUUAAAUGCUUCAGACAUGAAUCCAGCCCCCGAAACUCUAACUGUAGGCCUGCAAUAUAAUGCAAGCAAGGCCCUGAUGAAAGGAUCAGGCAAAUUGAAACGCGACAGUACCUCCCUAAGGUAAUCCCAAUGAAUUCUAUUGAAAGCCUUCUCCGCAUCUAAAGAAAGAAGCAGAGAAGGCGUGAAAUCCACUCGGAUCUGGUGUAUCAAAUUCAUAAAUCAGCGUCUGUUGUCCG